rnacentral:lncRNA from 1 species
UUUCUCCAAUAUUCUCAUGCAUGCCUCCUCUGGUUUUGGCAUCCAAAAACUAAUCCAUAUUAGGUUGGUUACUGCCCAUGUUUAAAUAGGAAGGGAGUUUGGUUUUAGGUAGGAGAUAAAAGUCCAAACUCUCCCUUGGACUCUAGCAUAUGAUGCCGCCCACCCUUUCUUAUUUUUGCAUCCAUGUUAUCUCACAGAGAAAAGAGUUUAAUGUGACUUGUUACAUGCAAAAGAGG